rnacentral:rRNA from 1 species
UUGAAAGGGAAACGAUUGAAGUCAGNCAUGCUGGCGGGAAUCAACUUAGGGGNNNNNNNNNNNCNCUUCUUCGCUUGGNGGUUAGCGUCGAUUUUGGAUGUCAUAAAAUGACUAGGGGAAGGUAGCUCUUUCGGGAGUGUUAAGCCCUUAGUAUAUGUGAUGUCUGGGAUCGAGGAUUGCAACGGAUACCUUUUGGGCUAGCCGUCUAGUCUCUAAUACGAAGUUGGGUUAUGGACAGCAUGCUGACUGUGAUCUGAUUUUCGGUUAAAAGAUUAGAGCAAGUGUAAAUUCGUUAAGGAUGUUGACGUA